rnacentral:lncRNA from 1 species
GGAAAGCAAGGAUUCGUAAACAGGAAUGGCUUACAUUCCUUCGGCAUGCUUUCACUCCACAGAGUCCCACAGCAGUUCUUCCGGCGGACAGUCUUGCAGCAAGUGAUAGGCACCAGUCACUGUGCUGCGUGCAAAUUUGCUCCAGGCCAUGAUAAGGGCCCCCCCCUCUCUGUUGGAUUGGAGAUCAACUUCACAGUUCAGAGUUGAUCGCUAAAAAUACAUUAAAAGGGC